rnacentral:rRNA from 1 species
UGAGUAAUGUCUGGGAAACUGCCUGAUGGAGGGGGAUAACUACUGGAAACGGUAGCUAAUACCGCAUAACGUCGCAAGACCAAAGAGGGGGACCUUCGGGCCUCUUGCCAUCAGAUGUGCCCAGAUGGGAUUAGCUAGUAGGUGGGGUAACGGCUCACCUAGGCGACGAUCCCUAGCUGGUCUGAGAGGAUGACCAGCCACACUGGAACUGAGACACGGUCCAGACUCCUACGGGAGGCAGCAGUGGGGAAUAUUGCACAAUGGGCGCAAGCCUGAUGCAGCCAUGCCGCGUGUAUGAAGAAGGCCUUCGGGUUGUAAAGUACUUUCAGCGGGGAGGAAGGCGAUAAGGUUAAUAACCUUGUCGAUUGACGUUACCCGCAGAAGAAGCACCGGCUAACUCCGUGCCAGCAGCCGCGGUAAUACGGAGGGUGCAAGCGUUAAUCGGAAUUACUGGGCGUAAAGCGCACGCAGGCGGUCUGUCAAGUCGGAUGUGAAAUCCCCGGG